CUACGGGAUGCUGCAGUGAGGAAUAUUGGGCAAUGGGCGAAAGCCUGACCCAGCCAUGCCGCGUGAAGGAUGACUGCCCUAUGGGUUGUAAACUUCUUUUGUAAGGGAAGAAUGAUUCCUACGUGUAGGAAUGUGACGGUACCUUAUGAAUAAGCACCGGCUAACUCCGUGCCAGCAGCCGCGGUAAUACGGAGGGUGCAAGCGUUAUCCGGAUUUAUUGGGUUUAAAGGGUGCGUAGGCGGAAUUUUAAGUCAGUGGUGAAAUCCUGCAGCUCAACUGUAGAACUGCCAUUGAUACUGAUCUUCUUGAAUUUAGUUGAGGUGGGCGGAACGUGUAAUGUAGCGGUGAAAUGCUUAGAUAUUACACAGAACACCGAUUGCGAAGGCAGCUCACUAAACUAACAUUGACGCUGAGGCACGAAAGCGUGGGUAGCGAACAGGAUUAGAUACCCUCGUAGUC
rnacentral:rRNA from 1 species